rnacentral:rRNA from 1 species
UGGGGAAUUCUGCACAAUGGGGGAAACCCUGAUGCAGCGACGCCGCGUGAUUUAGAAGGCCUUCGGGUUGUAAAAAUCUUUUUUACGGGAUGAAAAUGACAGUACCGUAAGAAUAAGGUCCGGCUAAAUACGUGCCAGCAGCCGCGGUAAUACGUAUGGACCGAGCGUUGUCCGGAAUCAUUGGGCGUAAAGGGUACGUAGGCGGCCUAGUAAGUUAGAAGUUAAAGAAUAUAGCUCAACUAUAUAAAGCUUUUAAAACUGCUAGGCUUGAGAGAUGGAAGGGAAAGUGGAAUUCCUAGUGUAGCGGUGAAAUGCGCAGAUAUUAGGAAGAAUACCGGUGGCGAAGGCGACUUUCUGGUCAUCAUCUGACGCUGAGGUACGAAAGCGUGGGUAGCAAACAGG